AGAAAGGAAAGAAAGGAAAGAAAGGGAAGAAAGGAAAGAAAGGAAAAAGGCGCUGAAGUCCAGGAUGAGAUCGACGUAAUAUGAAACAAUACUUCGGCAAUUAAUUUUUUCUUUCCUUUAAACCAGGCCUUUAAGAACAGUUUCAAGAGAAUUCAAGAUUUUCAGGCUUUAGGAGUAAAAAUAUGAGUUAUGUCAAUACAUAACUUGUAGUUCACUAAUAUUUCGCAUAAAUAAGAGUGCAUUCUUUUGAAAGAUCUGAGCGUUAGCCCGUAUGCUUAAAUAUCAAUCGUUUCUUGUAAUUAUCCGUUCACCUCUAUAAUAAGAGACUAGCAUCUACUUUCUCCUCACAAUAUCACCCUGAUCACGUGCACGCAUUAAGGUCACAAGAAUAAAGAGACAACCACCAA